rnacentral:rRNA from 1 species
UACGUAGGGUGCGAGCGUUAAUCGGAAUUACUGGGCGUAAAGCGUGCGCAGGCGGUUCGUUAAGUCCGAUGUGAAAGCCCCGAGCUUAACUUGGGAAUGGCAUUGGAAACUGGCGGGCUGGAGUGUGGCAGAGGGGGGUGGAAUUCCACGUGUAGCAGUGAAAUGCGUAGAGAUGUGGAGGAACACCGAUGGCGAAGGCAGCCCCCUGGGCCAACACUGACGCUCAUGCACGAAAGCGUGGGGAGCAAACAGG